rnacentral:rRNA from 1 species
AUUGAACGCUGGCGGCAGGCCUAACACAUGCAAGUCGAACGGCUGAACGGAGCUUGCUCCUGGAUUCGGGGGCGGACGGGUGAGGGGUGCCUAAGAAUCUGCCAGGCUGCGGGGUCUUACGUGCGAACACGGGGAAAAUUACGCCAAUAGUCCAGAGGGCGUACGUGUGGGAUCAUGGGACCUCACGCUAUCAGGUGAGCGGAGGUGGGAUUCUCUAGUUGGCGGGGGAGAGGCGUACCAAGGCGACGAUCCGUAACUGGUCUGAGAGGAUGAUCAGACACACUGGAACUGAGACACGGUCCAGACGCCUACGGGAGGCAGCAGUGGUGAAUAUUGGACAAUGGGCGAAAGCCUGAUCCAGCCAUGCCGCGUGGGUGAAGAAGGUCUUCGGAUUGUAAAGCACUUUUAGUGGGAAGGAAGGGCAGCAGGUUAAUACCUUGCUGUUUUGACGGUACCAACAGAAUAAGCACCGGCUAACUUCGUG